rnacentral:rRNA from 1 species
UACGUAGGGUGCAAGCGUUGUCCGGAAUUAUUGGGCGUAAAGAGCUCGUAGGCGGUCUGUUGCGUCGGCUGUGAAAACCCGGGGCUCAACCCCGGGCCUGCAGCCGAUACGGGCAGACUAGAGUUCGGCAGGGGAGACUGGAAUUCCUGGUGUAGCGGUGAAAUGCGCAGAUAUCAGGAGGAACACCGGUGGCGAAGGCGGUUCUCUGGGCAUUACCUGACGUUGAGGAGCGAAAGUGUGGGGAGCGAACAGG